GGAGAGAGCGAGCUCGGCGGCCAUGUUGGUGGUGUGGGUUCGCCGUUAGCUCGGAGGAGCGGCCGGGAAAUCGGAUUAAAAUGUCGGCAAGGGGCGGGCGGGAGCUGAAUGCUCAGGGGCGAAUGCGUGGCUAGGCCUCCGUCCCGGGGGAGAUGGUGCGAUGGUCCCGCCCUUCAUCGAUGGAAGUAGGUGUUUUCCCCACCGGACCUGCUCGGGCAUUUAGUAACACUGCGGAGUCCUUAAAGACACCAAGGCAACGGACAACGUCAUCUGAGGGCACAGGUUCCCAAUGCUGUGCAUGGGAUCAGUUCCCUGAAGACAUUUUCCCUCUUCCUUCCAGCAGUCUCAGGCUUGACUGGAUUCAGCUUUAAUCAGCUGUUCUUCAUCCAGGAUAUACUGAUACUGAGGAAAUGGAAUGCAAUUGUCCCUCCUCUGCUGCUUCUUUUUUUUUUUUUUAAAGCUGCAGGUACCCAUGCUCAGAAUUUUGAGCCAACACUCUGCCUUCUUCCUUCCUCCUACAAAACUGCCAGUUGGGAUUGAUGGAGGGGAGGGGAUGCACUUUAGGCCUUAAUUUUAGCUGGAGUCAAAUAAAAAUAUUGCUGUGUUGGUAACUGAAGAAAAGGUAAAUGACGUGGUGUAUGUUGUUAGAUCAAAAUGGCAAAGAUGUGUCUUACGCCUCAUGGUUCCUCUUUCAGAUGUAUGUGGAUGUUACAAAAAGCAGUUUUACCAAGUGCUGCAUUCUUUUCCUAGUUUCUUCACUGCCUGAGUCAGUAUCUGCUGGAAUUAUUUGUGCUAAGGAGGAGAAAUUAGUAUUUUUUGUUGUUGUUUUUUUAAAGAAGGUGGGGGGGAUAUAUAAUUGCAGAAGAACAGCUGUCUAAGCUUUUCAAAUUAAAUCUGGCCUAGAUCUGUGCAGCUGGAACCUCUUCAUAUUAAGCAAAAGUGGUAAGUAUUUUGAUGGAGUACUUAGAUAAUGUUUGAUUUGCCUUCUGUGAAAGACUAUUCUGUAUGUUAUCUGCUAACAUUGUCAGAGAUGAAUCAGCCAGCUUUUUCAUCUUUACGACUUCCUGACCAGCAAACAGCGAAGUGUGGUGGGCAGAUUCUAGAAACCUUUCUUCAGUGGAUGAUGUGUGGGAAGCCUGCUUGUACACCUUCACUGCUGUCCCCUAUUUUUAUGAAUAUACAAUUUACUUUGAUUCCAAUGUUUUCUUUGCCUAAAGAAAAUAGGUUUCCUCUUCCCACGCAGACAUAGAAGGUUGAUGCUCUUGUCACAGUAAUUGCCAGGGAAGGCCAACUUAAAGCACGAGGCAUUUGCAAUAUCAAGUUGGCUUGUAAGUCUGGUGCAUGAAAAGUGGUAUAGAACAGAUUUUAUUAUAUUACAUAAUACACUUUUUCCCCCCACCAGUGUGGAGCUUUCCAGUCUUUGUUACUGUCAGUCUGCAGCCAUCUGUGAUGUUCAUUCAUCACAAUUUGCCAUGGCCUUCAGAAGUUUCACUUAUACAUGUCACACUGUGCAUCUGUGAAGUGAUUUCUAGAAUUUCUGUGUUUUCAGUCACUAAGAGUAUAGUUCCAAGUUACACAACAGGCUCACAUGCUGACACUGUAGUGCUGACUCUGUAGUGUUGCAGGAGAUGGUGCUGCAAUAGUGGAAGUGCUGUUAUUUUAGAUAACAUGGUAAGUUUUCAAGUGGUUCUGUAGUUGAAGAUGGAGCUUGACACUUCUCAAAAUAAGUAGGUGAAUCCUUUGUCUAUUCUAAUACUGCUUUUAUCAGUAAACUCAUUCCGGUGUCUGUACAACACCUCAGCCCCAAUUAUGUUUGCCUGUACUUGCACUGUUAGUGUAAUCUAACCUUUUAUGAUUUGAAGACACUUCAGACUGUCACAAUUGUGAAAGUGACUGUAGUCUAGUGGUUUUCAAACUUUUUUUUCUGGUGAUCCAGUUGAAUAAAAUUGAUGUCCACAACC